rnacentral:rRNA from 1 species
AGCUCCAAUAGCGUAUAUUAAAGUUGUUGCAGUUAAAAAGCUCGUAGUUGGAUGUCUGGUACGGUGCACCUGGUCCGCCCCGUUUAGGUGUGUGAGAACCGGCGUGCGCCUGCCAUCCUUCUAGAGAGCGGCUCUGCCCUUCACUGGGUUGGGGUCGCGAUCUAGAUCGUUUACUUUGAACAAAUUAGAGUGUUUCAAGCAGGCCGUAGCGCUUCUGAAUACAUUAGCAUGGAAUAAUGAGAUAGGACUUGGGUUCUAUUUUGUUGGUUUCUAGGACCGAAGUAAUGAUUGAUAGGGACCGUUGGGGGUGCUAGUAUUCCGCGGCCAGAGGUGAAAUUCUUGGAUUCCCGGAAGACUCACUAAUGCGAAAGCAUUCACCAAGGAGGUCUCCUUUAAUCAA